rnacentral:rRNA from 1 species
UACGAAGGGGGCAAGCGUUGUUCGGAAUUACUGGGCGUAAAGGGCGCGCAGGCGGCCAGACAAGUCAGAUGUGAAAUCCCUGGGCUCAACCCAGGAACUGCGUCCAAGACUGGGAGGCUUGAAUCCGGGAGAGGGAUGCGGAAUUCCAGGUGUAGCGGUGAAAUGCGUAGAUAUCUGGAGGAACACCGGUGGCGAAGGCGGCAUCCUGGACCGGUAUUGACACUGAGGCGCGAAAGCCAGGGGAGCAAACGGG